UACAGAGGGUGCAAGCGUUAUUCGGAAUUACUGGGCGUAAAGAGCGCGUAGGCGGUUUGAUAAGUCUGUUGUGAAAGCCCUGGACCCAAUCCAGGAAGUGCAGCGGAUACUGUCUGACUAGAGUAUAGGAGAGGAGAGUGGAAUUUCUGGUGUAGAGGUGAAAUUCGUAGAUAUCAGAAGGAACAACAGUGGCGAAGGCGACUCUCUGGACUAUUACUGACGCUGAGGCGCGAAAGCGUGGGGAGCAAACAGG
rnacentral:rRNA from 1 species